CAUGCCUUACACAUGCAAGUCGAACGGCAGCACGGGUGCUUGCACCUGGUGGCGAGUGGCGCACGGGUGCGUAACGCGUGGGAAUCUGCCCUUUGGUUCGGAAUAACAGUUGGAAACGACUGCUAAUACCGGAUGAUGACGAAAGUCCAAAGAUUUAUCGCCAGAGGAUGAGCCCGCGUAGGAUUAGCUAGUUGGUGUGGUAAAGGCGCACCAAGGCGACGAUCCUUAGCUGGUCUGAGAGGAUGAUCAGCCACACUGGGACUGAGACACGGCCCAGACUCCUACGGGAGGCAGCAGUGGGGAAUAUUGGACAAUGGGCGAAAGCCUGAUCCAGCAAUGCCGCGUGAGUGAUGAAGGCCUUAGGGUUGUAAAGCUCUUUUACCCGGGAUGAUAAUGACAGUACCGGGAGAAUAAGCUCCGGCUAACUCCGUGCCAGCCGCCGCAGUAA
rnacentral:rRNA from 1 species